GUCUCGCGAGAGUUGAGGGCCAGGCCCGCUGCCUUCAAAUUGCAGAGACGGUUGGAAGGAGACCGCGAUCCCGCCCAACGGCCGCUUUUACCCCGAGAGCACAGAGGGCAUGGCCGCCGUACUUUUUACCCUUUGUCUUUUGAGCUUCGUCACAGCGCUGCCACCUACAGAUGGGACCUUGCUGGAUGGUUGCUUUUGAUGUUGUCUCUUCUUGGAGCAUUUAUGUACUAAAGCUUCAAAGUACAGGAUACAAUGUCCAAUUUAGAACUCUCCUGGCCAUUUGUUUUUCUACCCUGCACUGCCACCAAGAAGAGGUUCCUAACUCUGGGCAUCUACAGUCAUAAACAUAGGAUUACAUUGUUCCACUUGAACAACUGGUGAGUAGAUCAUGGAUGUGUUUCCUUUUGUCGACCUGGCUCAUGGUUGUAGGACCUGGUUGUAGGGCUACUCUCAUCCUCCUUUCUCCAGUGAAGCAUACUUGCCUCAGCAGAGAGCGCAAAAUCUCUUCCUUCUUUAGAACUUGUAACAGUAGAGAAAGAACUUUAAGGCUGUCUGCCUCCAUGACCCGCCUUUAAAGGUGAUUGAGUUUGUCCUCUAGUAGAUCUGGCUGCUUGUGAGAAGUAGGGAUUUGGCCCUCCUGGGUAGCUAUUUUUCCCCCUUCCUUCUCAACUAUCCCCUUUAUAAAAUAAUUUCUGUGCUAGAGCCCACAAUGCUAAUUUUAUAUCAAUUAAGAAAGACUUAAGUUUUAUUUGCUGUGGAUUCCUUGGGCUUCAGUAAGGACCUGAAGAUGUGCUCAGUAAAGUCAGAGAACCAUUUCCCUACUGUCCUGCAGUGGAUGAGAAUUUGAGGUACCCUUUAUCUCUGGGUGCCAGUCUUUUCUCCUAUCCUUUCAUAGAACCCCAGAGAUUAAACUACCAUUGUGGGGUACAUGUGUCCAUGUGUGGUAGAAACUUCAGUAUGGGAAGUCAGUAUUUGGAUAUGAAUGAAAUGGCAAAGGUAUCUUUUAAUCCAGGAAACAUCACCUCUCUAGUUCUCAUUUAUAUAAUAGGUGGAUUUGAAUAAGCCUCGCUUCCUAAUAGAGUUCCUCAAGAAUAAGAGAAUUUCACUAUUGCACAAGCAGAGUGUCAAACAUGUGGCUACCUCUUUGUACCCCCCUCCCCCAGUAAUAUAAAUACAGGAAAAACUUAUUCCUUGCAGUCUCACUGUUCUUCUUGCCCCCACCCAACUAUAUCCCUACAACAGCUAUCCUCCUAAAGCUUAGCUCUGAGUGCCACCCCUCUUCCAUGGCCCUUCUCUAGCACUGGCCAGUCAUUCCACAUGCCAGAAGCUGGCCCAUUCCUCUCCUGACUUAUGCUUCCUGACCCUCCCUUGGCCAUCAUUCUUUUGUGGUUGGCUUUAUUAUCCCCUCAUCUAGAUCUUAGAAGUUGUUGUCAUCUCCUGAUUGACACCCAGGUUGCUCUCCUUCUUCAAAAGUUCAGCACUGAUUUCACAUCUUCCCUGAUGCUCAGGGACUUCAGUGUCACAAGGAUCUUCCUUAGGACACCUUGACCUAGGUUUCUCCACCUCAGACAGUAUGGACCCUGGAGAUAAUUAGACUAAUAAGGCAUUGUCCUCCCCCUCGAAUGCCUUCCUGCCCCCCACUCAUCUUGUCAUUCAUAGCCUGCUAGUAUUUAAUCCCGAGUCCCCCUUCCCACCCCCAGUGGUUAUCAUGUAUCUCCUUUUCCUUUCACUACCAAACUUCUAGAAAAGACUAUACUUGCUGCUUCCACUGCCUCAUUAUCCACUCUUCAACACCUUGCAAUCUGGCUUCUGACCCUACCAUUUCACUGAAAGUCUCUUGAAGGUUCCCAGUGAUCUCUCAUCACAUGUCCUCAGUGGUCCUCCUUCCAUGCCAAAUUCUGACAGCAGCCCUCCCUGCCCCCACUGCAUCUCACCUCCCUUGGGUUCUCGUGACUGCUAUUUCCUGGACUGCUUGCUAAUAAGAUUUUUAUAAAGCAUAUUAAGGUUUUCAAGUGCAUUAUUAUUUCAAAUGAGCCUUAUGACAACUAGAUCAGGUACCAUUCUCAUUUUACAGGUUAGGACAUCAAGAGAGAGAGAUUAAGUCACUUGUCCAUAGUUGCACAGCUCGUGUCAGAUGGCCACUUAGGGCUUCCUCCCUCCCAGUCCAGGAUGCCAUCCUUUCCUACUUGUCUUACUGACUUUCAAGGCUCAGCUCCCAUAUACUUUUAGGAAAGCUUUCCCCCACCCCCAUUAAUAAUCUCUCCCUCCUCAAACAGAUCUCGGGCACUUUGAUCUCUCCUUUUGACUAAAUCUUGUAUUUUAUUUUUGGGGUCAUGUCUCUUGAGGAGAAUGGGAAUUCCUUAAGGACACGAUAUUCCUAGCUGUGCAUUGUUCACUGUUUUGAUCCCACUGUUCCUAGAUUUUUCUGGAACACAACCAUUCCUUUUCAAGGACCAGUUCAGCUUUCUCUAAUUCCUUCCUCAUUUGAAAGUGAACUCUCUUAAGUUUUCUUAGAAUGCUUUCCCUAGAUCUCUCCUUUGUUACGCUCUACCCAAAAUACCAUUUAUUUGUGUACAUGCCAUUAUCUACAUUAGAGUAGAACCUGUUGUGGGCAGGUGUUAUGUUGAAAUGAAAUACUCUGAUUUGCCUGACUGGUCUUUUCACUGUUCAUCAAACAGCCUGGCCUUUACUACCUUUGAAUUCAUGUUGACAAUGCCCUCUCUUCCAUUCCGUUUGCUAAAAUACUAACCUUCUCUUCAAGGCCUAGCUCAAAUGCUACCUCCUGCCUAGUGAUCUCUCUUAUCACACAAGUAAACAUGUAGCACCUUACAGCAUCUCAUGUCAUCUUAGGCACUGUUACCUUAGUUGGUUGUGUACCUGCCCUGAUUCCCAGCACGUACCUUAUAUUUCUCAUAAGUCCUGCCACAUAGUAGGUAUUCAAUAAAAUAUUUAAUUGGUUUUGAUUAAACCAAGCCCAUCUCAAGAAUAUGGGCGAAUCCCUUGAUGUCAAAGCCCAGUUUGCCCCUCCCACAUGCCAGCCUAAGUCCUACUUAUGGGGUUGAGCAAAAGGAAUGGGGGACUCAUCGGUUGAAGGCAGCCAAAGACGAGAAGAGAUGCUCAGACAGGUCUCCGCUCUCGGCCCGAGGUCUAGAAUUGGCCGACCAGCAUUUAUUUCCUCUCUAGAGGGGACAUUCCUGUGACCUUGUGUGUGGGCCACAGGGCACAAACUUGAAAGGGGUGGACACAUCCAUUCAGGACGAGACCUGAA